rnacentral:rRNA from 1 species
CCUACGGUGUGCUGCAGUGGGGAAUAUUGGACAAUGGGCGAAAGCCUGAUCCAGCCAUGCCGCGUGUGUGAAGAAGGCCUUCGGGUUGUAAAGCACUUUCAGUGGGGAAGAAAGCCUUGGGGCUAAUACCCUCGAGGAAGGACAUCACCCACAGAAGAAGCACCGGCUAACUCCGUGCCAGCAGCCGCGGUAAUACGGAGGGUGCGAGCGUUAAUCGGAAUUACUGGGCGUAAAGCGCGCGUAGGCGGUCUGAUAAGCCGGUUGUGAAAGCCCCGGGCUCAACCUGGGAACGGCAUCCGGAACUGUCAGGCUAGAGUGCAGGAGAGGAAGGUAGAAUUCCCGGUGUGGCGGUGAAAUGCGUAGAGAUCGGGAGGAAUACCAGUGGCGAAGGCGGCCUUCUGGACUGACACUGACGCUGAGGUGCGAAAGCGUGGGUAGCAAACAGGAUUAGAUACCCGGGUAGUC